rnacentral:rRNA from 1 species
GACGAACGCUGGCGGCGUGCCUAAUACAUGCAAGUCGAGCGAAGUUUUUCUGGUGCUUGCACCGGAAAAACUUAGCGGCGAACGGGUGAGUAACACGUAAAGAACCUGCCUCAUAGACUGGGACAACUAUUGGAAACGAUAGCUAAUACCGGAUAACAGCAUUAACUGCAUGGUUGAUGUUUAAAAGUUGGUUUUGCUAACACUAUGAGAUGGCUUUGCGGUGCAUUAGCUAGUUGGUGGGGUAAAGGCCUACCAAGGCGACGAUGCAUAGCCGACCUGAGAGGGUGAUCGGCCACACUGGGACUGAGACACGGCCCAGACUCCUACGGGAGGCAGCAGUAGGGAAUCUUCCGCAAUGGGCGAAAGCCUGACGGAGCAACGCCGCGUGAGUGAAGAAGGAUUUCGGUUCGUAAAGCUCUGUUGUUAGGGAAGAAUGAUUGUGUAGUAACUAUACACAGUGGAGACGGUACCUAAACAGAAAGCCACGGCUAACUACGUG